rnacentral:tRNA from 1 species
GGGGGUGUAGCUCGGUUGGUUGGAGCGCCGGCCUGUCACGCCGGAGGUCGCGGGUUCGAGCCCCGUCAUCCCCG